AGCUCAGCAUUAGUGAAGAAUCUCUCAGAGAUCUGGACCGAACACUGAAACAGCGAGUCAAAGAACUGCAGCAAUGUGAAGAUAUAUUCGAAGAUUUGGAUGAAAAAAUAAAAGAGAAAAACAAAGAGUUAUUAAAAUCCGAAGUGGCCCUGGAUGAUAUCGG